rnacentral:rRNA from 1 species
UACGUAGGGUGCGAGCGUUGUCCGGAAUUAUUGGGCGUCAAGGGCUCGUAGGCGGUUUGUCGCGUCGGGAGUGAAAACAUCCAGCUUAACUGGGUGCUUGCUUUCGAUACGGGCAGACUUGAGGUAUGCAGGGGAGAAUGGAAUUCCUGGUGUAGCGGUGAAAUGCGCAGAUAUCAGGAGGAACACCGGUGGCGAAGGCGGUUCUCUGGGCAUUACCUGACGCUGAGGAGCGAAAGUGUGGGGAGCGAACAGG